rnacentral:piRNA from 1 species
GCGGUCUAAGGCGCUGGAUUUAGG